GACGAACGCUGGCGGCGUGCUUAACACAUGCAAGUCGAACGGAAAGGCCCUGCUUUUGUGGGGUGCUCGAGUGGCGAACGGGUGAGUAACACGUGAGUAACCUGCCCUUGACUUUGGGAUAACUUCAGGAAACUGGGGCUAAUACCGGAUAGGAGCUCCUGCUGCAGGGUGGGGGUUGGAAAGUUUCGGCGGUUGGGGAUGGACUCGCGGCUUAUCAGCUUGUUGGUGGGGUAGUUGCUUACCAAGGCUUUGACGGGUAGCCGGCCUGAGAGGGUGACCGGCCACAUUGGGACUGAGAUACGGACCAGACUCCUACGGGAGGCAGCAGUGGGGAAUAUUGCACAAUGGGCGGAAGCCUGAUGCAGCAACGCCGCGUGCGGGAUGACGGCCUUCGGGUUGUAAACCGCUUUCGCCUGUGACGAAGCGUGAGUGACGGUAAUGGGUAAAGAAGCACCGGCUAACUACGUG
rnacentral:rRNA from 1 species